AUGUCAUAGUAUAGUAAGGGGUCAAAAAUGGUCAAAAAUCAUCAAAAAAAGUCAUAGUAUAGUAAGGGAGUCAAAAAUCAUCAAAAAAAGUCAUAGUAUAGUAAGGGGUCAAAAAUCAUCAAAAAAAGUCAUAGUAUAGUAAGGGGUCAAAAAUGGUCAAAAAAAUUCAUAGUAUAGUAAGGGGUCAAAAAUGGUCAAAAAAAAUCAUAGUAUAGUAAGGGGUCAAAAAUCAUCAAAAAAAGUCAUAGUAUAGUAAGGGGUCAAAAAUCAUCAAAAAAAGUCAUAGUAUAGUAAGGGGUCAAAAAUCAUCAAAAAAAGUCAUAGUAUAGUAAGGGGUCAAAAAUCAUCAAAAAAGUCAUAGUAUA